CUUCUUAUGAUUCGGAAACCCAAACGAAUUUUGUGGACAAGUUCAUCUUCUUAAAUGGCAAAAACCAAUAACUAGAAAGAGAAAUAGCCAACGAGGGCCUGCCCUAAGAUAAAUCACUAAUCACUACUGUAUUUAUGUAAAACAUAUGACAUUGAUAUCAUUAUAAUUCAAGGCUGGCUCUAAUUAAUUCCCAAAAGAAAUAGAAUUAAACAAUGGCAUUUUGGUAACUCUAUUGCUUAGCAAGGGUGAAUCUAUUAGGCGGUCAAACACUGUCAAGAAUCCUCUGAGCUUCUCAGGAGCCCCAAAACCUUAAUAUAUACAUACAAUCUGUACUGACAACACGAAUGUAUUAUUUUUCCCCUUUCGUUCACAAAAAAUAAAAAAUAAAAAAUAAAAAAUAAAAUCAGACAAUAGUCAAAAUACAACACCCCCAACUUCAAACUCUUGAAAAGAUUCAAUCAUUCAAAGUUUUUCUAAACAUUCCUCCCAAACUGAAAUUGUUAAAUGUUAAAUCUAGAAAGUUAUACUUCAUACCUGAAGAGAUGUCACCGACCGAUAUGGGCUGGAGUCUGGAGAGAACAUUGAAGAAAUAGAAUCAUGAAUUGAAGUCCGGAGAAAUCGAGAGAAAGUAAACUAAAAUAAGUGGAGGUGGGAGGUUGAAUUUGAUUCUGGAGAAUUGUGGAAGUGGGGGAAGAAAGGAAAUCGUCAGUCACCAAAUUGAAAGCAGAUUUGAAAAUCUUUCCGGGCCCUUUUUUAUUGGAUUUAUCGCUUGGAAUUUGUAUCCAUUUUGAGGUCCUGGCCCCAAGCCAAUUUUUGGAGGCUCUAGGCCUUUGCCUAGGAAGGUUGGCCUAAGGGCCGACCCUUCCUGUCAUCAUUGUUUCAGAUGGAAACCCAAAGUUUACAUCAAAAUUUUGGAAAAGUUUGCAGACAGUCAUAGGGACGAAAUUAAAGUUUAGCACUACUUAUCAUUCGCAUAAGGAUGGACAAUCAGAAAGAAAAAAAAAAUUCAAACUCUUAAAG
rnacentral:lncRNA from 1 species